CCCUGACCCCCUACGCUGGACAGCCUUCGGCGCCAGCCACACAAAGAGUGGGCCAUCUGGGCAGACUGCAGGGGAAGAGCUUUUCGCUUGUUUUUGAAAAAUAUAUACAUUUGGUUCAAAACACUGUAUCGGAGAAAUCGAGAUUCAUCAGACCAGGCUACAUUUUUCCAGUCUUCAACUGUCCAGUUUUGGUGACCCUGGGCCCACUGCAGCCUCAGCUUUCUGUUCUUGGAUGACAGAAGUGGAACCCGACAUGGUCUUCUGCUGUUGUAGCCCAUUUGCCUCAAGGGACUGAAAAAACUAUUGGCUGCUGAGACAAGUGGUUCCUGACAGGGCCCUGGACAGUGACACUGCCUUGUUGCCAUGGGCUGCGGAAUCAAGAGGAGGAGGAGGGGAGAACAGCCAGUACGCUGCGGGGGGAAGGGAGCCGCUCAAAAAAUGGAAUUGCGAUUCCGGGCGUCUUUUUUCCUGGAAAGAGGGAAAGGCUGUGGGAUCCAAUCUGGCACGCGCCCUGGACGUUUUAUUUUUUGGCUUCCCCCACACCCUCAAGAGCAUGUGCACUCCCUCAUCUCCAUCCAUACAUACAGAGAAAACCCCACAAUGGCACGAUGGAUCAAGUCCCCGAAUCUGGAUCUAGUGGAUACGCAUUGGUAAUGAACAUUUCCCUCAGUCCCAAGCAAGACAAAUGGGGAAAAGGCAACCAUACUGUAUGCGUGUGAUUCCCUGCUGUAGCUGUAUCUCUUAUCUUUCUGAGAUAAGAUCAGAAAUGGCAAAGAUGAAAGGAACAGGGUAUCAAUAGUAACAUACCACCUGAUGUUACUGUUAAAUUGUGACUUCAUGAAUGGGUCUUAUCCAGCAUAUUCAUUGUUUAACCUCUCACAUCAAUAAAAGCAUGAAUAUUCCUUUAAAUAAAUUGCAUAAAAAUUGUUUAAUAAAUUUCAUAUCUAAUCUAGUUUACAGCUGAAAUCCCACUCAGGAAGGGACUAAAAUGAAUUAUACCGAGUGAAUGUAUUUGCACAGAUCCAUCUAUAAUAAGAACUGAGAAAGCAACAGCACUCAGCUCUUUGUGCAGGGGUGCACCAUGGGACUGGAUCAGACCCUGGCUGUCCCAGUGCUGGUGGUGGCCUGGAGUCCCACAGGACAAGGCGUCAAUGGCUACAGCGUCACUAGGGGACAGAGGUGGUGUGUCUGUGCUGCCCAAGCUUCAUCUGCAAUGCCGGUGAACCCAAGCAACUGGGGCACCAUCAACAGAAGGCAGCUAAGAACCCAUUCAGGCCUCUGCAGUCCGCUCCCUUUAGACAUUAGGCAGGGAUAUCUUUGGGAAGGGAUCCAAAAGCAAUCUCACCAAAUUUCUGAAUGGAACUGUGAAUUGCAACAGACAUGAAAUUUGUGAACAAACACAUUAAUUCAGGCCGUGAUUCUUAUGCUGAAUUCAAAAUAUUUGUACUGGUUGGAUUACAUGUUAAUAACCAUGUUUUUCACCUUGUGGUUGAAGUACAGUAUAUUUGAUGUUCAAUAUUUCAGAUGCACGUUGCAAGAGCUUUCAGAUGCAAGAGCUGUUUCAGAUAAAGAAAAGUUAAAACGAUUUAUACAUUCGGCGAAGAAACGUUGGUUUUAUUGGGUUAUUAUAUUGUCAUUGGUUUUGGUUACGGUAAGGUUACCACCUUUUUUUAUUUCCAGUAUGGCUAUGCUUUAUAACAGUGAAAAAUGAAGGCAGCCAGUGGCUCCCUUGUGCUGGAUUUUCAGUAAACAGGCAGCAGUCACUAAGUACUUCCAUGUGUUUUGCCCUAAACAAAGACAUUUGUUACAGUGAAGAAAAUGUCUCUUUUUUUGCCUCUGCACAGUUUUGGCUAUACAUUUGCUCAUUUUUUUAACCUAGGUUCUGAGAACACAUAGUUUUGCUUGAUCCCUGCUUUGCAUACAUGAAAAAUUAUUUAAACAUAAGGAUACCAAUGAAGAAGCUUCCAUAUGUCAGUAAUUUGACUUUGUUAAAUAAAUUCAUAGCACAGACAGGUAUUGUUCAGUGAAAUAAUUUCGCUUAAUUGAAAUGGCCAUACUUUUAUACUAAAUGUAAAUUAGUGCAGGCAGUUGAACAAUGACUCAAUAACAUGCAUACCUUCAACAGCAUGUUUUCAUGGUGAAUUUAUAAAGAACUGUCAUUUUGACAAAUCAAUAUAUAUAUGCUGUACUCUUAACUCAUUUUAAAAAGUGGCAAUGAAAAUGGUACAAUAAGGGUGCAUUAAUUAACAUUUGUUAAUGCAGUAAUCAGCAUUAAUGAACUGU